UCUCUGACGGUCCAGUGGUAAGGAUUUGUGCCUUCACUGCAGAGGGCCCAGGUUCAAUCCCUGGUUGGGGAA
rnacentral:tRNA from 1 species